rnacentral:rRNA from 1 species
AUGCCUGCAAACCUCAGCAGGUGGGUGAUGCAGAUCUACGACCCAGAUAGCGAGUGCAUCGUUGUCCCAGGCAGGGGCGAGAUCCCCGUAACAGCCGAAAGCGUCCACCACACCUUGGGUCUUCACAAUGCAAGGGAGGAAGUGUUCUAUGGAUGGGAUGCAGAAGCAAUAUCUUUCAUAAAUAGUAGGUACGGUUUCGAGAAUGGGUGCGCCCCCGAGAUAACAACCGUUUGCAGUAUGAUUGAAAAGAUGAAUGGGAGAGCAGAUGAUGACUUCAUGAGGGCCUGGCUGAUUGUGGUACUGAGUAUCUUCAUGUGCCCUACAACAAGCUUACAUGUUAGCGCUCGAUGCUACCAAAUAGUCGCUGACCUAGAGAAAGUAAAAAGGCCCAACUUCUGCGCAUUCGUAGCAAAUCAGAUAAAAGCUUCAUUAGGGGGUUGGAACAAGAAGGCUGUAAACUGUUGUGUGCACCAUAUGGUCAUAAGUACCAUCUGCUAG